UUCAGGAUAAUAGCAUGGGAGGAGAAUUGAGAAAGUGAAAAAAGGGAGAGAGAAAGAGAAAGGAAAAGAAAGAGUAUCAAAGAGCACUGAAAGCGAUAUGUGAAUGAAUAGAUCGUCUUACAAACAAUUUUUGAUCCAUGGAUUUUCGCUUGGUUUCUGGAAAUAAUCUUGAAGUGAAAAAAAAGAGGGAAACUGAGAAAAGAAUCGCCAAUUGAUAUUUUUAUUACAUUAUGACAAAAGACAAUGGUUAAAGUAAACAAGUCAAAGGCUCGUUGCUCUUUUUUUUGUACUCCUGGCUGGUCGUGGUUCCCUUGGACAGUGGAUAGAGUUUGUGAUCACCCGCAGAGUAGAACCUCCACGAUCACCUUUUUGACCUUGCUUGAAAGUUGAAUUGAUUUAAGCUGUUGAUAACAUUCAUGGUGGCCUAUUGAAUUUCACUUCAAUCUCUAUCUUCAUCUGUAUUAUAACCAUCAAAUCUUAUUAUAUUUACCUUAUACACAUUCACAUACAUCUUUUCAGUUUAUCAUUUACCUUAUUUACAUUGUGUGUAGUAACAGUGAUAAAAAGCUGAUCUGAUUAUGUUUAUAAAUGUGUAUUUGUGUGUGUGUCUCUCUCUCACUCUUUGUAUCAUUGUUAAAGGCAAAGUUAAAGUGUCAGAAUAUUUGUCAAUUGAUUGUAACAUGAAUAAUAUUUAACUGGCACACAAGAAAGUUGAAAAGGAAGAUAUUAACCUUAGAUAAAGGUGUGAAAAGAGAGAAAGGUUAAAAUAUUGUAACAUUCUUCUACAUUUGUUAACUAACAUUUCACGUUUAAUCAACCUUUUUCUUGUCGCGUUACUGUUUGUAAUCCAUACCAUUCUUUAUCCCCUUUGUAUGCUCAUUUCAUUAUUAGAAUAACAAUCCUUAUUUUCCUCCA